rnacentral:snRNA from 1 species
AAAUAAGUCAAAUUGUCCAUA